rnacentral:sRNA from 1 species
AGUCGUGUGAGGAGCGAAAUCAGCGAGAGCAUCGAGACGAAACACGGCCAGUCGUCGAUGCUCUUUCUG